rnacentral:lncRNA from 1 species
UUCGGGUAAGACUUUUUUGGGAAAGUGGGUGUAAAGCUUUGAAGUUAGGUACAUAGUUCUCAUAUUGCUAUCAUACCAACUCUUUUCCUGAUUAAUAAUACUAGAGAUAUCGCUAUUGUGGUCAUCAAUAUUCAUUUUGCAUUCUUUUUUUUUUUUUUUUGAAGAAGUUAAUUUUAACUUCUUAUUUUCUCUUUUUUUUUUGAAAUUUUGACGGUUUUUUCUCUAGUACCCCAACCCUAAUCUUAAACCUUGCUCACUUCCAAGAGCAACCCCAAACUUAUUUGAUUUCAUACAAUUUUAGAACUAAUUUUUUUGUCUAACUCCAAAGAGAGGGUGUAAA